GGAGGCUGUCAAGGGGCCAGCAGAUAGAAUAUUUAGGGAAUCUCAAGUGGAACUGAUGCUGUGGAGGACACAAAGGUAGUUGUUCUUAGUGCUUAAGGAAAACAAAAGCUUGCUUUCUUCUGGAAGAUUUGUUGCCCUAUGGAAGAUUUGUGGAGGCCAUGAUGAGAGUUUUAGUUGGAGUGCUCUCCUUACUCCUUUCCAUGGAUUCUUUUGUUCCUGAGCUGUUGGGAUGCUUAUUGUAGUUUUUUGACUGGAACUCAGCUUCUGCAGAGAAGGUCAAGAGGUCUGUGAGCAGAAGGAAGGAACCCUGGCCUUUCUGCAGAGGACAUCGUUUGAGUCUUCUAACAGAAAUGCCAGCAUUCAAGCACUGCAAAAAGCCUACUCGGCCCCAGCUAAAAGCUCAGGCUCAAUAUGGUUAUUUCCAGCUCCGUGGGCAGAUGAAGACAUUUCUGGUGUGCUCCCAUUUCUGGAGGUGCCCUGAAAGGAUGACUGUGUUGGCAGCACUCUUCCUGACUCCACUAAAUGCAAGGCUGCAGAUAAGCCAUAUGAAACACACUUAGGUCACUGACCAGACCGGGCUGAUGAAUAUUACAGCAACAACCUGAAAUGGAUAUGCUCAGAACAGGGCCUGACCCUUCCUCUCCUGAAGCCCCACCAGUGCUCACCGUGAAGAACUGCAUGCUGUGAGUGCUGCCAGGCAUCUGCAGCCAAAGGAGGCUCCUGUGUACCACGGAGAGUAACAGCAAAAUUCUGGAGAGCCCAAGACUGUACAUUUUUCACCUAACACCUGUGGCAGUGCAAAGGCAUUUGGAUGAGUCAUGGCCGGGCUCCUAUGAUUCCUGCACUUUUCUCCUGCCGCCAGUGCAACAAGAAGACAGAGAGGAAGAUAACAAACGUCUUCAUGGUGGCAUUUUGCUGUUCUGGGAAGGGUUUCAGCUUAAGAAACAGAGUCUGCUGGCUGUUGGGCCACGUGCAAGUGGCCAGCAGUGGAAGCACGUCACCUACAUCUGUGCCUCUGCCUCAGGAUGGCAGGAUCAAAUGAGAUUGCCAGUAUCAGCUACUUGUAAAAGUCUCCUCUCUCUUUUCAACUUUCCUUUAAACACAUGCAGGAACACAGAAAGCAGCUGGGCAGCAGAGCUGUGUGUGCUGCCUGAAGAACCACCGUCCGUCAGAGCCCCUUGACCCUGCUUAUCUUUUGUAGGUGAAGCUGAAGCUGGGUGAAACAAUAGCAAGAUGAUGCAUUUGCAACUCAAGCUGGGACUGUCUUCACACUGUGCGGCUGAGCCAUUCGCUUCCGCUGGCACCUAUGGAUGCAGAAAUGAGAAAGCAGAGCAUCUGAAGGCUCUGAAGAAGGCCAGGAACUCUGCUGCGUGGCUGACAAGGAGCUUCCACAGGGAUUUCCAUCUCCCACCAAAGACUGAGAGCCUGUGUGUACAGCUAGGGAGAGUGCUUCACCGUGUGAAGGAGGAGCCAUCACAGCCCCUCAUCCCCUUCACCGCUCAGCUCUGCAGGAUGGGUGCCACAGGCACACACAGUACCAGCUGUGAUUUGGAACAAACGCAGUCUGGACAAAGUACAAAUAUCUUUAUCUUUCAGCAUACUCCACAAAAUUUCAAGGGAUUCUGUGCAGGGGCAGAGAAAUUGGUUUUCAUUUAAAGCACUGAAAUUGGCAUCUAAAAAUAUUUAUAUUAACCUACAUGUGGACAGUGUUAGGGUCCCAUGCUUGACAACAAAAUUCUGGGGAAGAUGAAUUCUUCAUUAGCGCACUUAGGAACAAGAAGAUUGUCUUUAGGACACUGGUUCCCCAAGCUGGAGGGGAUAAAGCCAGAAAAAAACAAACAGAAACAGCAUUGGCUUCUGAUGGUAGGUCAGUCAUACUCGCGUGAGUGCAGCCCCGCAGAGCCAAGGGCCAUCUCAGGCUCAUAUCAAUUGAACUAAUACAAGUCUUUCAUAUAAGCAAAUCCAACGGCUCGAGCUUUGUCUCCUGUUUAUCCAUACUCCAUUUAUUGAUACUCCAAUGGAUACUCAUCCAUAAAUAUAUUGAAUUUCCUACAUAGUAAAUCAUUUCAGAGGCUAUAAUAUUUCUCAGCGCUAUCAUUAAAAAGAUUUCCA
ensembl:lncRNA